rnacentral:rRNA from 1 species
CCUACGGGUGGCAGCAGUGAGGAAUAUUGGUCAAUGGUCGGAAGCCUGAACCAGCCAAGUAGCGUGCAGGAUGACGGCCCUACGGGUUGUAAACUGCUUUUAUGCGGGGAUAAAAUGCGGCACGUGUGCUGUUUUGUAGGUACCCUAUGAAUAAGGACCGGCUAACUCCGUGCCAGCAGCCGCGGUAAUACGGAAGGUCCGGGCGUUAUCCGGAUUUAUUGGGUUUAAAGGGAGCGUAGGCCGGGUGUUAAGCCUGCGGUGAAAUGUCGUGGCUCAACCAGGCCCUUGCGGUGGGAACUGGCGGGCGUGAGUGCGGGGGAGGCAGGCGGAAUUCGUGGUGUAGCGGUGAAAUGCUUAGAUAUCACGAAGAACCCCGAUUGCGAAGGCAGCGUACGGCAGCGCGACUGACGCUGAGGCUCGAAAGCGCGGGUAUCGAACAGGAUUAGAUACCCUGGUAGUC